rnacentral:rRNA from 1 species
GGCUACCUGAUUUGCUUAUUGCACCACAUGUGUUUUUCUUUGAAACAAACUUGCUUUGGCGGUGGGCCCAGCCUGCCGCCAGAGGUCUAAACUUACAACCAAUUUUUUAUCAACUUGUCACACCAGAUUAUUACUAAUAGUCAAAACUUUCAACAACGGAUCUCUUGGUUCUCGCAUCGAUGAAGAACGCAGCGAAAUGCGAUACGUAAUAUGAAUUGCAGAUAUUCGUGAAUCAUCGAAUCUUUGAACGCACAUUGCGCCCUCUGGUAUUCCGGAGGGCAUGCCUGUUUGAGCGUCGUUUCUCCCUCAAACCGCUGGGUUUGGUGUUGAGCAAUACGACUUGGGUUUGCUUGAAAGACGGUAGUGGUAAGGCGGGAUCGCUUUGACAAUGGCUUAGGUCUAACCAAAAACAUUGCUUGCGGCGGUAACGUCUACCACGUAUAUCUUCAAACUUUGACCUCAAAUCAGGUAGGACUACCCGCUGAACUUAAGCAUAUCAAAAGCCGGGGAGGAA